rnacentral:misc_RNA from 1 species
AAGUCGUAACAAGGUUUCCGUAGGUGAACCUGCGGAAGGAUCAUUACCAAAUCCAAAUACCCAACCCCAUGUGAACCUGUUUUGUCUGUCUUUGGGGGGAAGUACUGUCUAGCUGUAGCGUUUUGCGUUGCCGUUUCGCUUUGCUUUCCCCCAAAUGAGCCCUGCACUCCGGUGCUGUCGGCUCAACUGACUAAACCACAAUCUAAAAUUUCGUUGGAAUUAUCUUUAUUAAUCUUAAUAAAGGACAACUUUUAACGGUGGAUCUCUUGGCUCGUGGAUCGAUGAAGAACGC